rnacentral:lncRNA from 1 species
UUAUCCCCACCUGGUCCAACUCGGCGCCCAACCCUAACGCACACGGCACACACGCGCCCACCCUGCACGCCGCCGCCGCCGCCCGCGCGCCGCCGCCGACGACCAAAUCUGCCGCGCACCGCCGACCCACACUCCCCGCCGCCACAGCUCCGCUAGCUCUUCUAUCCCAAACUCCUGCCCGCAGCGAGUUCGCCGGAGGAUCUCCGUCCGUCUCGCCUCCUGGGUCCUGGCCACGCGACGCACGCCGGAGACGAGCGAGAAAUUAAGAAGCCGCUCUAGCGGCUGGCAGGAAUCUGAGCAACGACGACGACGCUCCGCAGGCAGCCGCUGCAUCGGAUCCAUCGCCGGUAAACUAUUGUUCAUUCACACACUCCUCGGUCGACUACUCCGAUCCAUCCUACAACUACACGCUUGGAGCUCAGCCGGCCGGCAGCCAUGAAGGUAACUGACUCCUGCUAGUGCUAGAUCACUGCUCUGUUCGACUUCGACGUCCGACGACCAGCUAUCAUCAGUGCCGGUCACCCAGUACUUCGACUCCGCGAUGCAGGCCGGACGACUCGUCAUGGCGAUACCACCGCCGUCGCCGCCCAAGCCUGCAGCCAACAAGGUGAUACGACUACAUUUUUAUAUGACGAACAAAUCAACUGAUUUACAGUAUCUCAUUAACCAAGGAUGAAACAGCGUGCUACAUAUUUGUAUGUAGUUCCAAAUACUAGCAAGUAGAAGGCUGUGUAAUCCCAGACUUGUUCAGCAGUGGGAUGCAAAUGUACUAAAACUGAUCAGCAGCAGUACAAUGUGUUUCAUUGCAUAUUCUGAAUACUAGUGAUUUUCUCAUGUGUUGAUUAGCCACUGAAUAUGAAAUUGACUUGUUAGAAUCAGCCAUGCUUCGUUCAUUGCAUAUUCUUUUGGUAUUAGAAUAUGGUCUGACUAGCCACUCCAUUAAUAUAUUACUAAGUCUAAGUGGAUUCCAGCUUAUGUUUCUUUGCACUAAAAUUGACAAUGGUUUUAGCCAUCUAAUGACAGUAAUGAUGCCAAUUGUGCCAUCGUCCUCAAAUUGACACUGGUUUUAGCCAUCUUAAUUUUAGUAAUUGAUAUCCAAGUUCUAAAAAAAUUUAUGGCUGACAAUGAUUGGGAUAAUGUCGAGAAGCAACUGAAGGAAUUAGUUUCUGUUCAGGUGCAUCCAUGCCUGUUCAUUCCUGUGUAUGAGGAGUUGAUAGCUGAUCAUGUCAGGAAGUAAGAGCGUGGAGCUUCCUUAAAACUAUUCUCUGAAAAAGUUGCUGUUCUGAAUAAUAUCCAGAGUGACUUUGUGAAUGAGAAGGAUCUGAAACAGCAAGUUAGUCGCUGCAGAAGAUCGCAAAGUAAGUUAAAUCACUAGAUAGGAAUUGAAACAAUUUCCAUCCUUAUAUAACACUGAAACAAUUUCCAUCCUUAUAUAGCACCAUUCUCAUCUUUUAUUCCCUAGAUAGGAAUUGAAUUUCGUCAGUUGUGCUGUUUAGUGCUAUGCAAAGACGAAUUUGCUCUCCCUCAUGCAUAAGGUUCAAACACAUGACUUGCGCAUAAGUUCACACAUGUUACAGUACAUUAGGUUCACAAACAUAAAGGCACACAUACAUAUGAGACUAUGAAAGAAUCACAAACCUUCUCUUGCUUGUGCUCAUAGCAGGGCUAGCAGAGUCAGUGUCUUUUUGCUUCUUGUGGCCAUUGCAGGGCUGUCAAAUGAGCCCAAAAGACUCUUGCCCUUUUGCUUGUUAGCAACCUGCUUCUUUUUCCUUGCAGCCUUUGACUUUACAGGAGCAUUUUUCAUGUCAACAGACAUAGCCUCAGGUUGAUUUGAACCAGAUCUUGACCUCACAGCCCACAUAGCUUCAAUAUCCUCUUGGCUACCGUUCUUGCAAUUGUGCCAGCGAUGACCAUAUAACCCUUGCAAAUAGAGCAUUGGUGCUGUCCAUUUUUCACUUGUCUGUAUAGCAUCUCCUAAGCAGACUGAAUUUUUCUUUUCAUUUAUCUUCUGCACAAAGGCAUUACCUACGAUCUGAAUUAUAGAAUUAGUAAAAACAAUAAUUUUUAUGUUGGCAUAUUGAACAACCUUACGCAUUGAUAUGCUUUAUGAUUUUUCACUAUUGUAGUAGGCAUAACAAACAAGCUGACCGUCAGAGUCACCUAUGGUAGCUUUGCUCCAUCUGUUUUCUGUAUAGACUUCUGUUGAUAGUAUAUUAACAGUGUUCAUUUUUAUUCUGUUCAAGUUAUAGUUUCUACAGUUGAAAAUACAUUGGAUUUGUCAUCUUAAUAAUGGGACAGUGCACUGAUUUAGGAGAGUAAACAUGUUCUGCAAACUAUGCUCCUGCAUAAUGUGACAUAAAUCAUCCUCUUCCAUGAAAGUAUCUUGUACUGAUUUUUUUUAGCAAGGUUUAUCUAUACAUCUUUAUGAAAGUAUCUUGUAUGAUAGUUUCUACAUGUUAUGGAACUUCAGUUUAAACCUACUAUGUAAAUUGUAGUUUAUCAAAGGUGUAGAAGCCACUUUGAUGAGUAUUUGUUGUCAUGCGCCUUUCUUUAAUUUAAAAUUUGCUUGGAUGUGUGGUCUUCGUGUCAUAUAUGUGCUGUCGGUUUUUUUGCAGGUUUUGAAAACCUCCCCAUGCAGGGGAGGUUCUGCCGAGAUUUUUUUUUUAAAAAAUAAAAAGUCUUUGCCGAGAGCCUGCCAGCACGGCUCUCGGCAAAGACGACGUCAACAUUGACGUUCCUCGACAGCGCCGUGGGUUUUGCCGAGAGCGUUUCUGGCCUUCGGCAAAGUCUUUGCCGAGAGCCUGCCACGUGGCUCUCGGCAAAGAAUUCUUUGCCGAGAGCUUCUUUGCCGAUAGCUCUUUGCUGAGAGCUUUUAGGCCUUUGCCGAGGGCUCCUGGCUCUCGGCAAAGAAUACGAAUCCAGUAGUGUGUGCAAAAUAAUUUCUCCACCAACGUUUAUGAACAAAGUCACACAAGAAAAAAGAUUGUAUGAUUUUUUUUUUCGAAUUCAACCUUGAAUUCAGAUCUUGCGUAUUUUGAGAUAACAAAUUAAAUACAGUUUCAUAAACAAAUUCUUUUUUUGCAAAGUACAACUUGCAUGCACAUAAACACUCACCUAUGAAUGCCUCCGAGACUAGACCGACAAAGCUUGAGAUCAACUAAGUAAAAUGUGAGCAACAACCCUAUCUUUAAGAAAGCUUGAGAUCAGCAAAAUAAUUAUCGUCAUGUGUUGGAGCCUUUGGUCCAUGAGAAAUGACUGCUAGCUCUAUAGGAUCAUUCUAGGGUAGAUCUAGGGGGGAAAACAUAUUAUGUUCAUGGUAAACAAGUAGUGCAAACAUAGAGAGGAAGAGGGAGAGGUGUGAGUGUCAUCGACUAUCAGAGGAGGGUGGAGUCGGGGUGCUUGAGCUGGUGCAUGACAUUUCUUGGUCGGCGACUAUCUGCGCUAGGCAGCGAUGUUUGGUGAGAAGGCGAUGCAGUGGUGACCGGCGUCGAAGAUGGUGGUGUAGUGCAGUGGCAGCGGUUGGGGUCUUUCCGUCACUGGCUACGCCCCUACUCAAGAUCGGCUUAGAGUUUUGUCGGUGGGUUUGGCGGCUUACGGUGAACCUCAUACUGAGUGCCGCCGGCCCCAACCUCUCUUUAUAGUGCAGGGUGACAGAGGCCCUUCAACUAUAAAUGGGGUGAGCGUCUCUGAUUAGGGCAUGAGUUAAGACCCAAUUAGACCGUUGGGCCUAAUUGGUAGAGAUCAAUCCAACGAUGACUUCAUCUUCAGAGAUUAAUUCCAGUGGGCAUCAAUUUGAUCUUGUUUGUAACCUUUUCUGUUUCUUAAAUUCUCCUGUUGUAUCUCAUGUUUACCUGUUUAUAAUAUAAUAACAUAUGGCUAGUAGGGGGCUAGGGCUUGUCCCUCCUGUUCCUUCCAAAAAAAAGUGAGCACCCAUUGGAGACUUGAACUUUGCUUGAAACUAUAAAAGGGAUCAAGAGAAAUUGAGAGGAGAAAUCUAGAGUCAAUUAGACUUUAUGAUGCAAAUAGGCCUGUUGUAUUUGUGUAGUGGUAGGGUUGUCUAGUGAGAUGUUAUCUACUAGGGUUCAAACUCUAUUGUUGCACUUUUUUCUAUUUUUUUUCUAAAAAAUUAGGGUACGUUCAAUGGUACUGCAUGUUUUCUGUGCACCGGAAGUUAGAGAGCCUCCCAAUCUCCUAUGCCCCAUUAUCGAUCUCUUAUUUGCGUGUGUACGGACGCGCACACAUGUGGUGUGAGUGUGGGUUAUGUGUGACCAAAUUGUACCCAAUAAUAAAAAUAGACUUUAUGAUAAUUUUGGACUUAUGCUUCUUUGAAGAGGUAUAUGGAGCUGAAUUUAUAACCAUUAUCUAAAAAAGAUUGCAACUUGCAUCCCUUCUCCUCUCUCUCAUGCUUUCAUCUAGAAUACGCUUGGCCCUACCUAGUUCGAAGCGAAUAGGCAACACUGAGACCAUGUCAAACACCACGCUUGUUUUUCAGAUGAGAUGCUUCCAUUCUUUCCCUUUUUGUCAUCGGUUACUCCAAUGCAAAGUUUUCACUUCACUACAAGGGCAUGGAAAUGCACAGAGUUAUAGAAAUGUAGUAGACGACGACAUGCAUGGACAUGUCCAACAAACUACAAAUGCUUGAUUUGGCCCGUCACUCCCUGCCGCUCUGAGCCUGCAUCUUGGAGCCCGUCGCAGAAUUGCAGCGCUGACCGAUUCUCCAACAUCCUAGCUAGGAACCAAACAAACAAGCUCUCUUCUCCAUGGUCGCCUAUAUAAGCAGCUGAAUAUGUGUGCUUCUGAACUCAGGGCAUCGCAUACAUAACGCACAGCCAAG